UUUUCAGAAUGGACGGAAUAUUAAAAACAUUGGUCCUAAUUUCAAAACAUGUUCACGUUUCCAAGAAUAUUCGGCAAUUCGUAUUUUUAAAAAAGUUCAAAAAAGAUUUUAAAUCCGACGUUACACUAUGUUCUUAAAUAUUCGCGUUGGCCAUCGGUUAGCAGUAGGAGUUUGUUGUCGUGGCUAGCGGCACGUGGUCGGGUUUUAAGGUCUUAUGUUCGAUCGUUCAACACACAGUUUUUUUGAUUAUUACUCGUGCCUUGCAAACACAGUUAUUUCGGUGCAUGUCAGUGGGUUGGCCCAGACGUGAUCGGUUGUGCAUCCCAUGCGCUAUUUGAUGCAAUUAGCGUCAUAUAGUAGCUCCCACGCAGCUGCCCCAUGUACCUCUCUAAUUUUUUCGGUUAUUCCCCGGGUGGGUCAAAUUGGACCUACCAUGUAUUUCUUUUUCUGUCAGAUGGACAAGCAGCAAAAAUUAAAGGACGCGAGGGGAUUGAACUAUGGACCUUCCCUAUUGUGCCGAUGGCUAAAACCAACUCAGCUAGCUUGCAAUUAUGAUAGGAACAAUCCCAUCUUGGAAUUUUAUACUAAAUCACAUCAGUUUUUAUAUUUCUCUAAGUUGUCUGAAAAUAAGGAGGUUGUGUGAGAAUAAGGAAGUUGUCUCGAGAAUUGUGAGUAAAACGAGUUACUCCACAAUUUUUUUGCGCGGACACUCCACAAAUUAUUGCCGGAGAUUACUUGCACGUGCUAAUAAAAGACAAUAUGUUGGUUGGCUAUAAUGUAAAGAAAUUGCGGGCACGUGCUAAUAAAACAGAAUAUGUUGGUUUUGCUCUAAUUAAAAAAAAUCAUGGUACGUGAGCGGAAAAACAAUUAAAGAGAAUAAACCCUGAUAAUGAAGGAAUAUCCAUGCCUGGUUAUGCGCUGAUUAUGCUAAUGCAACAUAAUUUAUGCGCUGCAAUUAGUAAUCCAUCUGAUUACGUCAUCGUAGGAGAAAGUGAUCAAAACAACCGUGCCUCGAAAGCCGCCACGCAGCAACUAAAUGAGAACACAACCACAACUCUAAGACGGAGGUGGACCUGGAGGAAAAAAAAGUACCCGUUAGGUGGUCGCAGCCACGCCGACCAACCACACCACUAUCAAGAUCUCGCGGGUCAAGUAUGACCCGUGAGAAGACCGCAACUACUCACUCUGUCACCCAACGCCAUGGAGAGUGUUUUUUUAUGAACACGUCAAUUAUCUCUCCCGCUGUUUGUUGCAAAAAAAUCAUCUCCCCUUUGCAACGCAUGGGCAUAUGUGCUAGUUAAAAAAAAAAACACAGGAAGGGAAGCGCAGCGCAUCACCCCUCCACCGCUCAGAGCCCAGACCCCUUCUGCUCCCCCUCCGGCGGCGACAGUGGCGGGCGGCGGAGACGAGUGGCGGGCGGCGGAGACGAGCACGUGGAGCUAAGUCGUCACGGCGCACUAGCCACCCCCGCGUCGGCAACUUCACCAGCCCCCACCAGCUCAACCUCAUCGUGGCGUACGCACCCGCACAACCCCCCUCUCUCCGCUCCCUCCCUCGAAUCCCCGCCCGGCGCACAAGCCCACCAGCGUCAGCCACUCCUCCCGCCCGGCUGAGCUCGGCCUUGAUCCUUCCGCGUUCGAAUUCCCGGGGCCCUAGGGUUUUGCUCCCGGCUAGAGGCGGGCGCCUGAUAAAUUCCUCUUCGUCAAGUCGUUUUUUUUUCUGAUUAGCUGUCUGGGAGGAUCUGAGGUCAUGAGUGCAGGUGUACAGCACUAGUGCGCACAGUAUUUCUCUGGGUAAUCCGCAUCCUUCUGAAAGUUCCUUUGCAGUCCGAUUCCACCUUCCAGUCGGGUUCGAGGCUACCUAUAUAUCAUACACACAAUUGAGGUUAAGUAUCCCCUGCCAAAAUCGAUGGAGAAAGCUUCUGUUUGCGAUGAUUCUCCAGAUUCGAGCGCCGAUUGCGAUUGGUCCCAGCUUCAGGCUGACCUGCUCCUCCAGAUCUUUGGCACUCUUGAGAUCCCUGAUCUCUUCAGCUCAGGUGCGGUCUGUCGAUCAUGGCACCUCAUUUAUCUGGAGGCCCGCCGUCUCCGGCGGUGCUCGCCGAACCAGAGCCCCUGCCUUGUUUACUCAUCCGGCGACCGUGACGCUAACACGGUCACCAUGCAUAACAUGUCCACCACAAGCUUUACCACGUCACUCUAUCGGAGCCUGCCUUCCGCACAUGCCACGUCAUGGGCUCCUCCUAUGGCUGGCUCAUCACCGCCGACGAGCGGUCGAAUCUCAUACUAGUCAACCCUGUAACCAGAGCUCAGAUAGCUAUGCCUCCCCCUGAAACCAUGAACAAUGUUAGACUGCGCUACACUGAAGACGGUGUGCUAGACGGAUAUGAUGUUCUUUACAUGGAUCUGUUCUCUCGGGAUUUUGACACUGAAAUGGAGCCGUACCAUCUUACACUUGAAGAAGCCCGCUUCUACCUCUAUGCGAGGGUCGUUCUUUCUUGUGAUCCCUCGCAUGGAAACUGCACAGUUCUCGUAGUACAAUUGCCAAAGGAUCAACUCUCUUAUACUAGGGUUGGGGACACCAAAUGGACCUGGAUUGAUGCAAAUCCAAAUUGUAGGGCUUAUCAAGAUAUACUUUAUAACACUAAUGAUGGUUUGUUUUAUGGUGUUCGUGGUAGGGAUCAGGUUGAUACUAUUAAUCUUAAUGGACCUUCCGCUGAAGUGAAAGUUAUUUUGAAGCCGAUCAUAUCCUAUCAAGCGCAUAGUAGAUAUAUUGUUCAAGCACCAUGGGGAGAUUUUUUCCAGAUAUGGAGACAUGAUAAAUAUAAUAAGGAGAAUGGGAGAAAGGACCGGGUUGCAGACAAGUUUUUCGUGUACAAGAUUGAUUUUGUUGAACAAAGGUCGUCCAAACAAAUAACAUCCAAGAUCACGCAAUGUUCAUUGGUUACAACAGUUCAUUCAUGCUUCCAGUGAAAGACUUCUCUACGUUGAUUCCCAACAGCAUCUACCACACAGAUGACUUGCUGCAUUAUAUCUUCUGUCACAGAUUUGGUCUUAGGCAGGCCGUUGUCUUUAAUAUGAAAGAUAGCUGUUUCAUUGAGUUAUCGCCCCCUAGUUCAGAUUCAAGAUUAAACUGGCCACCCUCGGUUUGGAUUCAACCAUCACUUACUUGAGGCACCAGAGCAUUCACAUCUUGGAAAACAAACUUAUCUUGAGAAGGUGCAUCCCUUGGUCAUCACAACAGUUCAAAUAACAAGAAUAGUGCCUCUGCUGCGUCUAUUGUUUUAGUUGGUUCAAGUGAGGAACCCGGGAUAUCAAUAACUGUUCGUCAGGCAAAUGUAAGGAAACUUUUCGUUUGGUGUACCACCCAUGCCGAUGAAUAUCUUUAAUUUAUGCAGACAGUUUGACCACUACUAGUCCACUGUUUCAGCAAAGGUUUAUUGCUGAUGGAAUUGAAACUUUGGUCAGGAUAGGUAUCCCAGUUAUCGCUGCCAUCUCCUUGUGGUGGAACUGUUUGUUCUUUGGUCGGUACCUGACCUUGUUCAUUAUAGGUGGACUUGUUGGAGAAAAUUUCGCCGUCAAGCAAAUCUUUCCCUUGCUCGGGAUUCUUGUUAUAAUCUCAUGUAUCGAUUCCUCCAUGAUGAGUAAUCCAGAGCCACGACAUAGUACAAUAGAGUGAUGGCUUUUCUGCUUUGCAAAGCCUUGUAUCAAUCAAUUCUUCCAGCAAGUAUUUUGGUAGGAAAAACUAUCUUUCGGAACAAUGGGUAUAGUCAUUGGUGAAAAAUAGAUAGAUUGGGGAUUCUGUUGGAGAUAAGACUAUGAAUACGGCGUUUCCAAAUGCUCUAGAGGGUGGUUUAGGAUAGUUAGCGGACGGGCUCCCUUGAACUUGUUGGUGCCGGCGCGUUCAGCUGCGGUUUGGACUCUCGAACCAGGACUGGAAGUCUCAUCCGGCUGUGAGACGAUCUGCUGCAGAGAGGACCUGAUGCAAAACCUGCCUGGAGUAAGGAGGGGCAGCUGCGCUGAUUGGUGAGGCCAUGCCGCUCUUGCCUGUAUGCGGUUGUCACAGCUAUCUGGUUGGACUUGCACCAGGCCCCCAACCGACGUUCGUUUAGCGAACGGUCAGUUCAGAAUUUUGAAUUUGAAAUCUUGCAUUUAAUGCGUUAUUAUUGCCUAGCAUGUACACGUGCUAUACGCCAUUCGUGUACAUCCAGAUAGAAACGAUUUGUUUGAGUGAGGACCAUUUUUUUGAGUGGAGGGAGCAUUGUGUUAGAAA